UACGAAGGGAGCUAGCGUUGUUCGGAAUCACUGGGCGUAAAGCGCACGUAGGCGGAUUUGCCAGUCAGGGGUGAAAUCCCGGGGGCUCAACCUCGGAACUGCCUUUGAUACAGCAAGUCUUGAGUUCGAGAGAGGUGGGUCGGAAUUCCUAGUGUAGAGGUGAAAUUCGUAGAUAUUAGGAAGAACACCGGUGGCGAAGGCGGCCCACUGGCUCGACACUGACGCUGAGGUGCGAAAGCGUGGGGAGCAAACAGG
rnacentral:rRNA from 1 species